UUUCCGGUUGAUCCUGCCGGAGGCCAUUGCUAUCGGAGUCCGAUUUAGCCAUGCUAGUCGAGCGAGGUUAGCCCUCGCGGCGAACAGCUCAGUAACACGUGGCCAAGCUACCCUGCAGAGGGGGACAGCGUCGGGAAACUGACGGGAAUCCCCCAUACCGGUCUCACGCUGGAAUGCCGAGACCGACAAACGCUCCGGCGCUGCAGGAUGCGGCUGCGGCCGAUUAGGUAGUCGGUGGGGUAACGGCCCACCGAGCCGAUAAUUGGUACGGGGUGUGAGAGCACGAGCCCGGAGACGGAAUCUGAGACAAGAUUCCGGGCCCUACGGGGCGCAGCAGGCGCGAAACCUUUACACUGCACGCCAGUGCGAUAAGGGGAUCCCAAGUGCGAGGGCAUACAGUCCUCGCUAUUGUGUACCGUAGGGUGGUACACGACCAAGAGCUGGGCAAGACCGGUGCCAGCCGCCGCGGUAAUACCGGCAGCUCGAGUGAUGGCCGAUUUUAUUGGGCCUAAAGGGUCCGGAAGCUGGCCCUGCAAGUCCGUUCGGAAAUUCCACUUGGCCUAACGAGUUGGGCGUUCGGGGGGAAAUACAGGGGCUUGGGACCCGAAGACUUAAGGGGUACGUCUGGGGAAGGAGUGAAAUCCUGUAAUCCUGGACGGACCGCCGAUGGCGAAAGCACCUCAAGACGACGGAUCCGACAGUGAGGGACGAAAGCUAGGGUCUCGAACCGGAUUAGAUGCCCGGGUAGUCCUAGCCGUAAACGAUGUUCGCUAGAUGUGGCACAGGCUACGUGCCUGUGCUGUGUCGUAGGGAAGCCGAGAAGCGAACCGCCUGGGAAGUACGUCCGCAAGGAUGAAACUUAAAGGAUUGGCGGGGGAGCACUACAACCGGAGGAGCCUGCGGUUUAAUUGGAUUCAACGCCGGAA
rnacentral:rRNA from 1 species